rfam:Rattus norvegicus chromosome 11, whole genome shotgun sequence.
GGGGAUUUAGCUCAGUGGUAGAGCGUUUGCCAAGCAAGCACAAGGCCCUGGGUUCGGUCCCCAGCUCCG